AGCAGCCGCGGUAAUUCCAGCUCCAAUAGCGUAUAUUAAAGUUGUUGCAGUUAAAAGCUCGUAGUUGAAUUUCGGGAUCAAUUAAUCGGUCGUGCCUCUGGUACGCACUGGUUUUAUUGGUUUCUCCCUUCUGACGAACCAGGAUGUCAUUAAUUUGGUGUCUUGGAGAAUCAGGACUGUUACUUUGAAAAAUUAGAGUGUUUAAAGCAGGCUAACGCUUGAAUACAUUAGCAUGGAAUAAUGGAAUAGGACGUUUGAUCCUAUUUUGUGUUU
rnacentral:misc_RNA from 1 species